UUGUGUUGUCUGUGUUACUGCCUUGUUUUGUUUUCUGAGUUUGUUUUGCGAGUGCUUGUGAUUAAUUCAAUAUAUGUAUGUAUUAUGAACUGGAAAAUGGAUAUUCAUGAAAUCCUAGAAAUUUUCAUAAUUCCAAAUUUAAGCAACAUAGUUGGGGAAAGCAACAUUACUGGGGGAAGUUCAGAGGUAUCUUGAAGUCAUUACAUUAUUGUGUAAAUUAUUUUUGAAGUUGAAGAUAUUAUCGAAAACCGUAGGGUGAUUCUGGUCCGAGGUUUGGCAAUUACUAAGUUAUUUUGCAUUUUAUAUUGUACAGGACUUGGGCAAUAACUAUUGUUCGGAGGGUGUUCUAUGUUCCUCGGAUGAAGAUGUCGUCUACACUUCGUUGUAUGGGUGCAACUUUGAUGAUGAAACGACGGUUGAUUAUUAUUAUUAUUAGGUGAAGGCUAGGACGAGGGGCAAGAACCAUAAAAAUCUGCGAUUGUGCAAGAACCAUAAAAAUCAAGAUUUUAAUCGUGUUUUUUGUGCAAGAACCAUAAAAUAAAUUAUAUGUGAUUGGCUUGUGGGUUUGCGAAAUUAAGUAUGUGCUUCUUCUUGCCUUUGAAAGGUGCUGCAUGUGGAACUGAUUUGGUUUUGUUUUUUGGGCACUGGUACGCUACUGUGAAUGCCUUCUAAUGGCAGGUCUGUGAGCAGGAUGGCUGCUUUGUUUUGGGUGUACUUCUGUUGGGUAGUUUUGUUAUGCUUCCAUUUCAUUUUCUGCUGCUGUUUUGCUUGGCCCAGGACCAUGUGCUGUUAUGAAAUUAUGAAUCGAUGGUUAUCUAUUAUGGGGUCUGGAGUGGUGUUUUGGAUUUCUGUUAUGGCUGCUUCUCUUUUUCUGGUUUUUUGGCAGAAACAUGUAGCAGUUCUACUGUUAAAACAACUUCAGUAGGCCUACUUUUUGGUGUAUAGCGCGGCUGUUUGUUCAACGUCAUAACAUUAUCAUAUUAAGCAUUAUAGUAGACAUUUCAUUCAUCGCGGCAGUUUGUUCAACUUCAGAACAUAACCAUAAAUAUAUCCUCAAUUUCC
rnacentral:lncRNA from 1 species